UACGGGGGGGCAAGCGUUGUUCGGAAUUACUGGGCGUAAAGGGCCAGUAGGCGGCCAACUAAGUCGGAUGUGAAAUCCCCAGGCUCAACCUGGGAACUGCAUCCGAUACUGGAUGGCUUGAAUCCGGGAGAGGAUGCAGAAUUCCAGGUGUAGCGGUGAAAUGCGUAGAUAUCUGGAGGAAUACCGGUGGCGAAGGCGGCAUCCUGGACCGGCAUUGACGCUGAGGAGCGAA
rnacentral:rRNA from 1 species